GUAAAAGCUAAGAACUUAUAACUGUUAGAGGAAAACACAGGGGUAAAUCUUCAUAACUUUGAAUUUGGAAAUGAUUUCUGAGAUAAGACACCAA